rnacentral:rRNA from 1 species
GAUGAACGCUGGCGGCGUGCCUAAUACAUGCCAGUCGAGCGAACGGACGAGAAGCUUGCUUCUCUGAUGUUAGCGGCGGACGGGUGAGUAACACGUGGAUAACCUACCUAUAAGACUGGGAUAACUUCGGGGAACCGGAGCUAAUACCGGAUGAUAUUUUGAACCGCAUGGUUCAAAAGUGAAAGACGGUCUUGCUGUCACUUAUAGAUGGAUCCGCGCUGCAUUAGCUAGUUGGUAAGGUAACGGCUUACCAAGGCAACGAUGCAUAGCCGACCUGAGAGGGUGAUCGGCCACACUGGAACUGAGACACGGUCCAGACUCCUACGGGAGGCAGCAGUAGGGAAUCUUCCGCAAUGGGCGAAAGCCUGACGGAGCAACGCCGCGUGAGUGAUGAAGGUCUUCGGAUCGUAAAACUCUGUUAUUAGGGAAGAACAUAUGUGUAAGUAACUGUGCACAUCUUGACGGUACCUAAUCAGAAAGCCACGGCUAACUACGUG